UCCUGUGGGCUAACUGUUACUAUCAUCCCCAGUGCACAGAUGUGGAAACCGAGGCUCCUCCAGACACGGGACGUCAGAGCAAUGGGGCUCCUGGUUUGCUGCAUUGCUGCACCUUGGCCAUUUGUCAAGCAACCUCUGUGCUGUCGUGGCACUGGGGACCCUACUGUGAACCUACAGAUCCCCUGUCCUUGCGGGGGGUUCCCUCUAACGAGGAAGGCAGAGACGGCUCCCUGAGAGUGGCCUUGGAGAGCCGUCCAGGUGACAGAGAGCUGUCUGCACCUUGUCCCUGGCCCCUGGGCUAUGGAGACAGCACGAGUUUCUGCCCGCCAUUCCGGUCUUCUGUCAUCUGCCAGCACAGGGGGUGGUGUGCUGGGCACCGACCCCCACCUGGAAUUGCUGGACGGGAGUCCAGUGUCCUUCUAGAACAAGGGGCUUCCAUUCAGGCCGCUGGGACACACAUCGCUGGGAACUCCCUGCUUUGGGUCUCGUUUGCUGCCGGAGAGAGUGCGGGGGCUUGGGUGCUGCCGGGGGUGGCCGGCGGUUCCCCUGCGACAACCGGCCUAGACGUGCAAGGAGCAAAGCGGGGGCUCUCUCCCCCUUCGUAAAAUGAUAAUCCAUCACUGUGGUGGACCAUUGCUCAUUUUUCCGUUUUCAAAUUGUGACAUACACACAGAAGACACACACAACAUCUACGCAUGCGUAUGCCUACGCGUGUGCAUACAGUUUAAAGAUUCGGCUGGUAUAGACGUCUGUAUUCACCUCCCACGUCAGGAAACAGGACCUUUCCAGCCGCCCAGAAGCACUCGUGUUCCUCCUGACAACAGCCCCUCUCCCUGGGGCGACUGGUGCUUGACUUCUGUGACAGCCGUGUCCCUGCUCGGCCUCACAGUCUGGCUCCCCGGGGGGCACCCUCAGCUGAGGCGUGGCGUUUUG
rnacentral:lncRNA from 1 species